UUGGAGGGCAAGUCUGGUGCCAGCAGCCGCGGUAAUUCCAGCUCCAAUAGCGUAUAUUAAAGUUGUUGCAGUUAAAAAGCUCGUAGUUGAAUUUCGGGAUCAAUUUAUUGGUCGUGCCAACGGUACGCACUGGUACAAUUGGUUUCUCCCUUCUGACGAAGCAUGAUGUCAUUAAUUUGAUGUCGUGGGGAAUCAGGACUGUUACUUUGAAAAAAUUAGAGUGUUUAAAGCAGGCUUUGGCUUGAAUACAUUAGCAUGGAAUAAUGAAAUAGGACGUUUGAUCUUAUUUCGUUGGUUUCUAAGAUCGACGUAAUGAUUAAUAGGGAUAGUUGGGGGCAUUAGUAUUCAAUUGUCAGAGGUGAAAUUCUUGGAUUUAUUGAAGACUAACUUCUGCGAAAGCAUUUGCCAAGGAUGUUUUCAUUAAUCAAGAACGAAAGUUAGGGGAUCGAAGACGAUCAGAUACCGUCGUAGUCUUAACCAUAAACUAUGCCGACUAGGGAUCGGACGAUGUUAAUUUUUCUUGACUCGUUCGGCGCCUUACGGGAAAC
rnacentral:rRNA from 1 species